GUGGGGAAUAUUGCACAAUGGGCGCAAGCCUGAUGCAGCCAUGCCGCGUGUAUGAAGAAGGCCUUCGGGUUGUAAAGUACUUUCAGCGGGGAGGAAGGGAGUAAAGUUAAUACCUUUGCUCAUUGACGUUACCCGCAGAAGAAGCACCGGCUAACUCCGUGCCAGCAGCCGCGGUAAUACGGAGGGUGCAAGCGUUAAUCGGAAUUACUGGGCGUAAAGCGCACGCAGGCGGUUUGUUAAGUCAGAUGUGAAAUCCCCGGGCUCAAGCUGGGAACUGCAUCUGAUACUGGCAAGCUUGAGUCUCGUAGAGGGGGGUAGAAUUCCAGGUGUAGCGGUGAAAUGCGUAGAGAUCUGGAGGAAUACCGGUGGCGAAGGCGGCCCCCUGGACGAAGACUGACGCUCAGGUGCGAAAGCGUGGGGAGCAAACAGGAUUAGAAACCCGAGUAGUCC
rnacentral:rRNA from 1 species